UGUGUCAGGCACUAUUUUAAGCACAUGUGAAGUUUGUAUCCUUAAAACAGGCCGGGCGCAGUGGCUCACGCCUGUAAUCCCAGCACUUUGAGAGGCCAAGGCAGGCAGAUCGCCUGAGGUCAGGAGUUCCAGACCAGCCUGACCAACGUGGAGAAAUCCCGUCUCUACUAAAACUACAAAAAUUAGUCAGGCGUGGUGGUG
rnacentral:lncRNA from 1 species